rnacentral:rRNA from 1 species
UACGUAGGGGGCAAGCGUUGUCCGGAUUUAUUGGGCGUAAAAGGCUUGUAGGUGGCCACGCCAAGUCGGAUGUGAAAUCUCCCGGCUCAACUGGGAGGGGUCAUUCGAUACUGGCGGGCUCGAGGCCGGUAGGGGGAAGUGGAAUUCCCGGUGUAGUGGUGGAAUGCGUAGAUAUCGGGAGGAACACCAGUGGCGAAGGCGGCUCCUGGACCGGUUCUGACGCUGAGGCG